AUGCUGAGUGACUUAUGUAGAUCUUUUAUGAUUGUAAAUCAGAUUACCUCCUUAUGUUUGUACAAACCCUUUUCCAGAAUGCUUUCGCAUAUAGUUUUCUCUCUUGAUUUUUCACAGUUUGCGAAGAAUCAUCACCUCCCUGUUAAAGGUGAAGAAAGUGACAUGGGACAUGAUGUGACUGGCCAACGAAUCAUCUCUCCUUUUCUCCAGCCUGGCGACAGGUGUCCCGACAGAGCCCAGUUACCAAAGGCAGUCACCGACUGCUUGCGCGCCUUCCAGAGGAGCUCGUGUUCCAGCAUCAAAGACUGAAGCUUGUGCAUUGAGAUUGAGGACACCACAAAAGAACGCUGCGGGGCGUACAGCCACAAACUUGACAUUUCUAGCUCCAGAUCUGCACAGGCAAUGGCUGUGCUGCAGGGACUGUCCCCUGUGCCUACUCCCUGGUCAUCUGAGUGGAUCUGUAUUGCUGUUUGGAAAUAUCAGCCUCUGUUGCACAUCUUCCAACCAGCUGGCCGGAGUGGGAGGUGGAGCCCCUUGCUAUGAAACAGAGCUUUACUUUGCUGAUAACAUGUGUCCGUAAUGUAUUGAAGGUAACUUAGAAAUGCUGUGAGCCCAAACUUCAUUUUAUGGAGGAAAAUAACAGGCUCAGAGACGUGGAGUGUCACGCUCGGGGUCACCCAGCAGCCCUGCCUUGUCCUAUGCAGUAGCCACUCCCCUCCUGUGCCCAUGAAGCCCUUGGAAUGGGGCCAGUGUGACCGGAGUGUGCUUUCAGUGUAAAUACACACAGGAUUUCAUUGACUCCGUAGGAACAUAAGUAUCUCAUUGAUAUUUUUUACAUUGAUUAUAUGUUGAAAUGAUGACAUUUUGGAAACUUUUGGCUAAAUUAAAUGUAUUAUCAAAAAUAAGAUCACCUGUGUCUUCUUUUGCCUUGUUCACGUGGCUGUUAGAAACUAUAACAUAACAGACGUGGCUUGCAUUAUGUUUCUACCCGACGGCAUUCUUCUAAAGCUUGGAUUAGAACACAGGUUUCUUGCCAUUCAUGCUAACCCA
rnacentral:lncRNA from 1 species